UAGAGUUUGAUCCUGGCUCAGAUUGACCGUUGGAGGCAUGCUUUACACAUGCAAGUCGAACGGCAGCACGCCUUUUUGCUCCUGGUGGCGAGUGGCGAACGGGUGAGUAAUGCAUCGGAACGUACCCAGUAGUGGGGGAUAGCCCGGCGAAAGCCGGAUUAAUACCGCAUAUUUCCUGAGGGAGAAAGCGGGGGACCUUCGGGCCUCGCGCUACUGGAGCGGCUGAUGCCGGAUUAGCUAGUUGGUGAGGUAAAGGCUCACCAAGGCGACGAUCCGUAGCUGGUCUGAGAGGAUGAUCAGCCACACUGGGACUGAGACACGGCCCAGACUCCUACGGGAGGCAGCAGUGGGGAAUUUUGGACAAUGGGGGCAACCCUGAUCCAGCCAUGCCGCGUGAGUGAAGAAGGCCUUCGGGUUGUAAAGCUCUUUCAGGUGGAAAGAAAUCACUACCC
rnacentral:rRNA from 1 species